CGCUGUCGGGAGUUAAGUAGUGCAGGGAUGUUAAUAGCAUCCUUGCUUGACUAAGGCUCCGGAGGAAGCCACGGCUAACUCUGUGCCAGCAGCCGCGGUAAUACAGAGGCGGCAAGCGUUGUUCGGAAUUAUUGGGCGUAAAGAGCACGUAGGCGGCCGUGUAAGUCGGUUGUGAAAGCCUUCCGCUCAACGGAAGGACGGCAUCCGAUACUGCAUGGCUCGAGUGCGGGAGGGGAGAGUGGAACUUCUGGUGGAGCGGUGAAAUGCGUAGAUAUCAGAAGGAACACCGGCGGCGAAGGCGACUCUCUGGUCCGUAACUGACGCUGAGUGUGCGAAAGCUAGGGGAGCAAACGGGAUUAGAUACCCCGGUAGUCCUAGCCGUAAACGAU
rnacentral:rRNA from 1 species